GAUGAACGCUAGCUACAGGCUUAACACAUGCAAGUCGAGGGGAAACGACAUUGAAGCUUGCUUCGAUGGUCGUCGACCGGCGCACGGGUGAGUAACGCGUAUCCAACCUGCCUCUGACCAAGGGAUAACCCGUCGAAAGUCGGCCUAAUACCUUAUGCAGUCGUCGGAAGUCAUCUGAUGACGACGAAAGAUUUCAUCGGUGAGAGAUGGGGAUGCGUCUGAUUAGCUUGUUGGCGGGGUAACGGCCCACCAAGGCAACGAUCAGUAGGGGUUCUGAGAGGAAGGUCCCCCACAUUGGAACUGAGGCACGGUCCAAACUCCUACGGGAGGCAGCAGUGAGGAAUAUUGGUCAAUGGGCGAGAGCCUGAACCAGCCAAGUAGCGUGCAGGAUGACGGCCCUAUGGGUUGUAAACUGCUUUUAUGCGGGGAUAAAGUGAGGGACGUGUCCUUCAUUGCAGGUACCGCAUGAAUAAGGACCGGCUAAUUCCGUG
rnacentral:rRNA from 1 species